rnacentral:rRNA from 1 species
CCGUCAAUUCAUUUGAGUUUCAGUCUCCUACGGGAGGCAGCAGUAGGGAAUAUUGGACAAUGGGCGCAAGCCUGAUCCAGCCAUGCCGCGUGAGUGAAGAAGGCCCUCGGGUUGUAAAGCUCUUUUGUCCGGAAAGAAAAGCAUUCGGUUAAUACCCGGGUGCUCUGACGGUACCGGAAGAAUAAGCACCGGCUAACUUCGUGCCAGCAGCCGCGGUAAUACGAAGGGUGCAAGCGUUACUCGGAAUUACUGGGCGUAAAGCGUGCGUAGGUGGUUUGUUAAGUCUGAUGUGAAAGCCCUGGGCUCAACCUGGGAAUGGCACUGGAUACUGGCAAGCUAGAGUGUGGCAGAGGGUAGUGGAAUUCCUGGUGUAGCAGUGAAAUGCGUAGAGAUCAGGAGGAACAUCCGUGGCGAAGGCGACUGCCUGGGCCAACACUGACACUGAGGCACGAAAGCGUGGGGAGCAAACAGGAUUAGAUACCCUGGUAGUCCACGCCCUAAACGAUGCGAACUGGAUGUUGGGUGCAAUUUGGCACGCAGUAUCGAAGCUAACGCGUUAAGUUCGCCGCCUGGGGAGUACGGUCGCAA